AAAACAGUAGAGGUCUACCCAGUACCUAUGGUUAAACAUGAUGAUCAUAAGUGCAUGUAUCAUUUUGCAGAUUCUCAUCCAGGAUGAUGCAGCUCUACAAUUUCCAUGGAGGUGAUUGAUGAUGAUAAACAAUUGGUGAAGUAGGCCUAAUAGAACAGUGAUAGGACCACAAAGAGAAAUACAACCUACAGCAGUUAUAUGAGACUGGUGUAACAGAUGUUUUCAUUCAAGAAACCCAACAAACUGAAAAGUGACUUAGCUUAGGAAGCACUUGAUAAAGAUGGAAAAGGUUUUUUUUUUUCAAGUCCUAUUUUUUUUUUUUUAAUUAUCAUCACAACCCCAAAUUCAUGAAGUAUGAAAUUUCCUGUCGAUUUUCAUUAAAACUGGUUGCAAAAGGAAAAGCUAUAAACAUACAAAUAGGAGCGGCGAAGUGAAGUUGAAAGUGGGGGGGGGGGGGCACAGGGAAAAUGCUGUAUUAUGUGAAAUUUUAAAGAAGUUGCGAGAGAGCAAAAUUUUGACAUUUUAAAAAAGAAAAUCCAAUUUUGUGAUAGAUUUCGACAAAAUAUUCAGAAUGAUAUAUUUCACCCUUUUUUGGGGGGCCCCCCCCCUCCAUCUGUAGUGUACGGAACUGCUUAUCUACCCCCACUCACAUGAAUUAUUAAACUUAAUGCACAAAGGAUUUCCUUAUUGUUUUCUUGUUUCAAAGGGCACUCGUCAUUCUUUAGGAGCACUUUUCUUGGGUAAAAGGGGGCAGUUAUUCGAGAAAGGGCACUUACAAGAAGGCGAGGGGUACUUUUUAACACUUAAAACGGGCCCUCAGAUGAAAGGGCACAGAACACGUUCGGGGGGCAUUUUUUGGUAAAAAUUUGCACACAAGGAAAGAGCACUUGGUAACACCUAAAACAGGUUCUCGUCAGGUGAAAGGGACACAGUUCACGUUCGUGAGGGGGCAUUUUUCUUACAUAAAAUUAAAGGCACUUUUCAGUGCUUCAAAAAGUAGGGGGAACUGUGCCACCCAGGAUCGCUGCCCCUGCAUACAAAAUACAUUUUUGUUCGAUUCAAAGUAUUAACAUACGCUUAAGAAAAAAGUAAGGCUAAAUCCUCUGAUAAUGUGAUAUUUUUUCUGGCUAUUAAUAAAAUUCACAACUAACCAGAAAAUGCCUUCAUGUCUUUCAUUUGUAUUCAUAUAGUAUUUGUACAGAGCUAAAAUGAAAGGGAUUUGGAAUUGGCAAAAUUCAAAUGAGAUGGAGAUCGAGAGAGAGAAAGAGUGAUGAGAAGGGCCGGGGGUUGAAAAGAGAUGAGAAAGAAAUGGAGGGGCACAUAUGAAGAGAUAAUUUAGAGGGGGGGGGGGGGGUAAGAGAGCACGAAUGGUGGGAAGUAGGAACAAAGGGGUGGAAGAGAAAUAAGACGAGAUUUAUGGAAACCAGGAGACAGAUAACAAGUGGGAAAAGAAGAAGGAAAUAUAUGUAGGAGAAAGGCGGCACCAAAAUAACGUGAGUGGGAAAAUUAUUAAAUGGAAAAACAGAGCAAGAAAUGCUGGAGAAUAGAGGGGACAGGAAACGUAUUAAACAUGAUAAACUGGGGCCCGUUUCAUCAUGAGUUACAAGUAUGGUAAUUAUGAUUGGUUAUAUAUAGCCGUUACCAUCGUAGUUAACUACGAUGGUAACUGCUAUAACCAAUCAUAAUCUAGGUUACCACGGUAAUCACAAUAACAGCGAUGUUUAAAUAGCUGUAAUUCAUAAUGAAACGGACGCCAGAUGAAGAAAACAGGCACGGGGAUCCUUGAGGGUCGGGGCCGGCCCCUUACGUAUUAUACCUUGAACAAAAGAUUUUUUUUUUUGCUUCUCGAAAUUUGUAACAAGAAAUGUACUCUAUUAGUGGUGACAGUUAUUUUUUUCAGUAACCAUACUCAACCAGUGAAAAUUACCAUCAAAUUGUAAUAACCAUGUUCUGCCCCCACCCGCCCCCCCCCCCUAGAAAAAAAAAAAAAACAAGACUUUUGGGUCAGUGCAACAGCCCCCUUUGAUCCGUUCGGCGGCCUCUGCCGGCUAUUCAGAGUCUAGAUUCAAUUCAAUUAUUUUAUUUUCCACUUUCAAUUUCAUAUUUACAAUUAUGAUACAAUUGACAAAGUAACAUAUAAUCACAAUUGAAGUACAUACAAAAAUUGACAACAUUAUUAAAUUACAAUAGACAAUUAUCAAAUCGAAAUAUAAAUGAUUGAAAGGGAGGGAGGGCCAACUGAAAAGCAGAGCUUGUAUAAUGUAGGCCCCCCUAAUAUUGAUUAAUUAAUAUUGAUUCUUUACAUUUGUUAAAAACUAAGAUUGCUGUAUAUCUUAACAUGCGACAAUUUGGGGAUGGCAAAAGCACUUGAGACCUCUUUAACUAAUCACGACUUGAAGACUACUCUUUUCAUCUUCCCUUUAUAGGCCUAUACGACACAAUACAAACAAUGCUUUGUUUUUAAGUGAUAUCGAUUGUGAUAUCGAUACUUUAUUGAGCGCAAUGUAUCGUCUCAGAUUUGCGCUUGCUUGAUUCGCUGAAUCCUUCGCGUCACGAGCGCGUAACAAAAUGAAUACAUUAAUGAAUUUGCCAAGUUGACCUUUGUCAUUGCGCUGAUGUGCGUAUUGUCUAAUACACGUACAAAACCACAGUCGACGAGGGAGCAUCGUACGAAAUUAAUAUUAAUGAGGGCUUAUUUUAGCUUCUAAUGGAUUAAACAAAAUGGCGGUAGC